rnacentral:rRNA from 1 species
ACUCCUACGGGAGGCAGCAGUGGGGAAUAUUGCACAAUGGGGGAAACCCUGAUGCAGCCAUGCCGCGUGUGUGAAGAAGGCCUUCGGGUUGUAAAGCACUUUCAGUAGGGAGGAAGGUAGUGUAGUUAACACCUGCAUUGUUUGACGUUACCUACAGAAGAAGCACCGGCUAACUCCGUGCCAGCAGCCGCGGUAAUACGGAGGGUGCGAGCGUUAAUCGGAAUUACUGGGCGUAAAGCGCAUGCAGGCGGCCUGUUAAGUCAGAUGUGAAAGCCCGGGGCUUAACCUCGGAAUUGCAUUUGAAACUGGCAGGCUAGAGUCUUGUAGAGGGGGGUAGAAUUUCAGGUGUAGCGGUGAAAUGCGUAGAGAUCUGAAGGAAUACCAGUGGCGAAGGCGGCCCCCUGGACAAAGACUGACGCUCAGAUGCGAAAGCGUGGGGAGCAAACAGGAUUAGAUACCCUGGUA